CCUUCGGGGUACUCGAGUGGCGAACGGGUGAGUAACACGUGGGUGAUCUGCCCUGCACUUUGGGAUAAGCCUGGGAAACUGGGUCUAAUACCGAAUAGGACCACGCGCUUCAUGGUGUGUGGUGGAAAGCUUUUGCGGUGUGGGAUGGGCCCGCGGCCUAUCAGCUUGUUGGUGGGGUAAUGGCCUACCAAGGCGACGACGGGUAGCCGGCCUGAGAGGGUGACCGGCCACACUGGGACUGAGAUACGGCCCAGACUCCUACGGGAGGCAGCAGUGGGGAAUAUUGCACAAUGGGCGCAAGCCUGAUGCAGCGACGCCGCGUGAGGGAUGACGGCCUUCGGGUUGUAAACCUCUUUCAAUAGGGACGAAGCGCGAGUGACGGUACCUAUAGAAGAAGCACCGGCCAACUACGUGCCAGCAGCCGCGGUAAUACGUAGGGUGCGAGCGUUGUCCGGAAUUACUGGGCGUAAAGAGCUCGUAGGUGGUUUGUCGCGUUGUUCGUGAAAACUCACAGCUUAACUGUGGGCGUGCGGGCGAUACGGGCAGACUAGAGUACUGCAGGGGAGACUGGAAUUCCUGGUGUAGCGGUGGAAUGCGCAGAUAUCAGGAGGAACACCGGUGGCGAAGGCGGGUCUCUGGGCAGUAACUGACGCUGAGGAGCGAAAGCGUGGGGAGCGAACAGGAUUAGAUACCCUGGUAGUCCACGCCGUAAACGGUGGGUACUAGGUGUGGGUUCCUUCCUUGGGAUCCGUGCCGUAGCUAACGCAUUAAGUACCCCGCCUGGGGAGUACGGCCGCAAGGCUAAAACUCAAAGGAAUUGACGGGGGGCCCGC
rnacentral:rRNA from 1 species